rnacentral:ribozyme from 1 species
AACAACGAAGAAGGGGGCAAGGGGACGAGAGGGCACUUACCUUCAGUCUUCUUGUCCUUCUUUCUUCUUCUUCUUCAGUUUUCUUUUAUUUUUCUUC